UAAUUACCAUCAAGUCAUUCCACCUGUUGCAAUGUUCUGGUCAGGUCUGUCUCUACCUGCAUCAUCUGGUUCAGUCUGGCUUUGCUUCCAUCAUCCGGUCUUCAGCCUUCUUCACCUGGUGAUGCACCUAAGAACUUAAAAGAAUCCUGAAGGAGAACGUUUGCAACCUUAAAUUUGAAUGAACCUGAGAAAUGCAACAGGACUUUGAUCCUAACUACAACAGCAGGCCCAGCAAAGCAACAAUCUUUCAGAAAUGGUGAAGAAAUGAGAGAGGAAGAAGAACCGUGGAAAUCUUCUGACGUGGGAAUCUACCUAGCUUACAUUGACACUUUAGGCAGCUCUGUGCCUGCAGCCGCGUCUCAGAACAAAGCUCCAUGUGAUGAUUAUGCAAAUGUGAAAUUCUCCAGCAGAAGCUCGUUAUCUCAUCACAGAGCCGGCAAUAACAACACGACUGAUGUUGUCUACUCUGGUUGUGAGCAGGAGGAUCCCAGAACUGAUAAACUGCUGUAUUCUAAUAUUUUUUAGCUUUAGCACCAAGGUUGCUCCAUUUAUUCUAAAAAGAAGCAGAGUUUAAUGUUUGAAUGAACCAAGACACAUUUAAAGGACAGCCUGAUUGUCUGAACGCAGUUUUAAUGCAAACUGAACCUACAGUGCUGUUUCAGCAAAGCGUCGCAGUUUUCUUCUCCUUAUGGCAAUCAAACUGUUGCUGUCUUUCAAAAGUUCUUUGUUCUAAUAUUUGUUGCCAUAUUUAACCAUUUUUAACCUAAGAUUAGCUGUUGAAGGUUAUGCACAUAAAAGUUGAAAGAAAGAUAAGUAAAAAGUUUAAAUAAAUACACAGAAGAAUCCCACAUUGAACCAUUUAGAAAAACAAACCUUAAUUUUUAGUACAUUUAUUCACUAAAAUUAAUAAAACCCACCUUAAGAAAUAAUUGAUUCAGUAAUUUAUCACACCUGUUGGUACCCCUGCCGUUAAUUCCUUGCCAACAGGCCAACAUCACUGCAUUUGAUGUCCUGUGACUUUUCACAAGCUUGGAGGAUAUAUCAAUAUCAGUAUAUACAAUCAGCUAUAACAAAUAUAUCUGAUAGAGAAAACUGAAUCAAGAACAAUUUAAUCUAGCUUAAUUAUUUAGCUGCGACUAAAAACACAAUUAUAUAACUACAACUAAUAUGAAGAGUUAAACGCAGAUUGGGUCCUUUAACAGGAAAAAAAUAUUGAUUGAUCGAUUGAUUGAUAUUAGUGUGUGUCUCCAUAUUGUCCUGUGAUGGACCCUGUCUCUGCGGCCCUGUAAGGAUAAGUGGGUAUAGACAAUGCAUGGAUUGAUGGAAGGAUGGAGUUCUAAAUACUUGGUGCACAUUUUAAAAACAUUUCAAUAGUCUUCUAUAUUUCGUUUUAGUUUUUGUACACAAAAUAAAAUGUAUACUGGGUAAAUGGUAUUUUACGUCAUUUAGGGACUCGAUGAAGGGAGUGAUCAAGUUUAAUGUGAACCAAAACGCCUCAAGAUGAGUUCUGAAAGUACGAAGUUUCUUUCUCUAAAUUAUUCCUGUAAAUAAAACUAAAAUAUAUUUUUUUAAAUUCAAUUCAAACUUAUUUAUAUAGCGCCAAUUCACAAGGCA